UGAUGAAGUGGCGAACAAGGAGGGUGUAUCAGCCACGUAGUCGUUUAGGAAUGAGAGCUACCGAGUUGACUGUGCAGUCCAUCAUUGACAACUUACAGCAAGGCACAGUAAUCGUUUCUGUUUGCAAUACUUUUCUUUGCUUGUGAUAAAAUAAAAUAAAAGUGUCUUUGGAAAUACGUUUGGAGUGGUAUGUGUGUGGCCAAAUUGUUGCUUUACCAUGGGUAAGAAAUAAUCCAGGAAGUGAUUUAGCAAGCUAAUCUAUUUUUCCUAUUUAUCAAUCUCUUCUCUAGAAUGCUAUGCUGAUUUUUUUCACAGAGGACUUUGACGUGAAGACGUACACAGCCCAGGCCAUCCACCAUGCUGUCAUCUUAGAACAGCUGGCCAAGCUGGCUCAGGGUAUCAGUCAGCUGGACAAGGAGCUCCACAGCCAGGUGGUAGCCAGGCACGAGGAGCUACUUGCUCAAGCUACUGGGAUUGAGUCUUUGGAAGGUGGCGUGUGACCUGCUGCGAAGGAUCAUCAAAAUCCUGUACCUGUCCAAGCGUCUGCAGGGCCAGCUCCAGGGGGGAAGCAGAGAGAUUACCAAGGCUGCCCGAGCCUCAACGAACUGGUUGAGUGACCGUUGCCUGUUCACCUCUGAUACACUGCACUGUACUACUGACAGGGCUGCUCCAAGCCUCAACGAACUGGGUACUGUAAUACUGACAUGGUUAACUCACCGCAUUUGGGCCUACUGUAAAGAGCGUGUAGAUCAGGGAUAGGCAUCGCUAGUCCUGGAGUGUUUUUGAUUUAAGCGACCUGGAAUGCCAGGUGUGUUGAAUUUAGGCAAUCGUUGAACUGAUCAAUUCGCUUAGUUGAACAAAAAUCCUGCAGUACCUGUGGCACUCCAGGGACAGGGUUGUCUUCCCCCUGGUGUAGAUGGUGAUGAGAUCACCAAGGGUGCCCAGGUCAGCCUCAGCAAACUGGGUGAGUGACCCUGCUCAUUCACUCUAAUACUAUUGACACUAAAGUGAAACUCCACUCAUUUAUGCCUACUGUAGAAGGUGUAGGUGAUGCUGAGAUCACCAAAGCUACUCGGAGCCUCAAAGAGCUGGGUGAGUGACUUGGAGAAGAAUGUUUGUACUGUAGGUUGAAGGUGCUCUUUGGUGAAGGGUAAUCAAAAAAACACGGAGUGCUCUUCAUAUAAUUACUUUUUUUUGGCAAGAUUUUGUUAUAUUGAACGUGCUGUUGAUAAUAAAGACAUUUUA